rnacentral:piRNA from 1 species
UAGUGUUGGGCAAUCUUGGGGGGA